ensembl:lncRNA
UGUGCUCACACAGUCCUUAGGGAGCAUGCCAGCCAGCCUAGGUCGAGGGUCACUGGGCACGUGUCAGCCCGUGGGGUCAGCUGCCUGGACCUCGGGGUUGAAAGCGGCCACUUCCCACACGUGUGCUGGUGACGGGCCCACUCCUUUUGCCCUGGGUGCCACUCUGCCCCUUCUGGCCUGGUUCCUUCCCUCUCCCUAGGCCACACCUGCUGCCCAGGCUCUUGCCCCGCCCCCAGGACCUUUCCUCCUGGAUGCUGUGUGCCAUCCUGGAACAUCCAGGGACAGCUCGAGGUUAGACUAGCACCCUCCAGGCCACCCCGUCCCUGGUCCUGCACAGAGAAGCCAGCACUCUGGGACCCUAGAGGAAGCUUUCUCCCCUCCAAGAGCAGCACCUGCUAUUUUUGUCUUUCAGCAUAGUCCAUGCCAGCCAAGUGCUGUAGCACAGGGCACAGUCCGGCUGGCCUGGUACUGCAAAGCAGCUGCCCCUACUGUGAAGUCAUUCACCUGGACUGCUCACCCUGGCUUCUGCACCCCGAAAACCCAGGGGUGGGGCGUCUCACACCCUCUCUGGCCAGCAUGAGCUCCUCCAGCCUGGUGCUCAGCAGCGCCUCUGUCUCCAAACACCCACGGGGGUUUGGGCUACAGGGACUGGGUGGGGCCGUGCCCUCCAGACUGCCAGGUGAGGGGCGCCACGGGGCCCUAGGAGCUGGAAAGCUGCCUCACCUGGGCGGAAAGUCCUGCCCCAGCCCCCAGGGUAGGAAUUCCUGUCUGGAAAAGGUGAAGGGUUGCAGCUCUUUACCUUUGAAUGCGAGUUUCCAUGGCAACCGAAGCCCAAGGACCAUUCAGGGUUCCAAACAAAACAAGUCCGGGGUCUGAGGUCCGGGCCCUGCCCCCGCCCCGCUCCAAGUUGAGCCACUGAGGGGCUCCGGCCAACCCGUGCUACGAACUGGGACCUGCUGGGCGAACAAAAGCUCCUGCCUCACUCUAACACUGGAAAUUAAAAUUGUAGUUUCAGCUUCUUCAACCCUAUGGCAGGUGACCUUCAAGCUGGGCCCGAACGACGAACGACGCACGCCGCGUCGGGACCCUGCUUCUCCGGGAGGAGGGAAAGUGAUCUAUUUGCGGGAGACAUAUUUUCCAGGCGCUUUAGGAAAGACACCCCACCCCCUCGGCUGCUGACUGUAAAAUAAGAAAACUAUUACCCGGCUGGGCAACAAUGGGCUCCCACGGUGCUUUUCUGCGCGGCCCGCAGCUGCAGGGAAAGUGGAAGCUCGGGCAGGAGCCUCCUCCGCCGCCUUUCUAUGGGCAGGAGGCCUCCCGCUGCUGCGCCGCAUUUUCUAUGCAAAACUGCAGAAGAAGUGACAUUUUAAAAGUUUUGACCUUUGUUUUUUUUUCCUUGCAUGAACCAAAGCAUACAUUUUUUAAACCUUCUGACAGGGUAUCUGUUAGAAACGGCAAUAGCCAUUACAGUAAUAAUAAAAUGUUUCAAAAUUUGAAA